UGUCCCCUACGGGAGGCAGCAGUGGGGAAUAUUGCACAAUGGGGGGAACCCUGAUGCAGCAAUGCCGCGUGAAGGAUGAAGGUUUUCGGAUUGGAAACUUCUUUUGUACGGGACGAAGAAAGUGACGGUACCGUAAGAAUAAGCCACGGCUAACUACGUGCCAGCAGCCGCGGGAAUACGUAGGUGGCAAGCGUUAUCCGGAUUUACUGGGUGUAAAGGGCGAGUAGGCGGGAUUGCAAGUCAGAUGUGAAAACUAUGGGGUCAACCGAUAGAGGGCAU
rnacentral:rRNA from 1 species